UACGGGGGGGGCAAGCGUUGUUCGGAAUUACUGGGCGUAAAGGGCUCGUAGGCGGCCAACUAAGUCGGAUGUGAAAGCCCCAGGCUUAACCUGGGAACUGCAUCCGAUACUGGAUGGCUUGAAUCCGGGAGAGGGAUGCAGAAUUCCAGGUGUAGCGGUGAAAUGCGUAGAUAUCUGGAGGAAUACCGGUGGCGAAGGCGGCAUCCUGGACCGGCAUUGACGCUGAUGAGCGAAAGCUAGGGGAGCAAACGGG
rnacentral:rRNA from 1 species